rfam:Arthrobacter aurescens TC1, complete genome.
CUACGACCACACGGGAGCCCUUGCAGGGGCUGAGAUCGGACUGAUGCAGUCUGCGACCGUUGAACCUGUCCGGGUAAUGCCGGCGAAGGAAGUGAGUAUUCCCUUGAG